rnacentral:lncRNA from 1 species
GGAACAGAUAUAAGGGCGCAGGUCAUCUGACUCGCCCCUCUUCUUGUCUCGCCGUGUUCCCUGUCGGAUCGGCUCGCUACUGCUGCUCCCAACUGCAUGCAAGGCUUCAGUAUUAGCGUGACUCGGAAGAAAAUUGAGUGUGUGCCUUUUUUUGCUUCACUAUGAAACAUAAUCAAGGUACUCUGAAGAUCAGUUGGGAGGUGCAGAUGGUUGUGGAAGGCAAAACAAUUUGAGCUGCUGUGUUUACACAGCAAAGAAGGGACUCCAAAGUUAAUACAGAAAUUUACUUUUAACAGCUUUAUAUACUAUUAAUUUUGUAAUCAUGGUCUACUUCUUGUCACAACCUGCCAAUCUAACUUGAGAAAUGUGCAAGUGUUCAGACAAAGAGCUUACUCCACCAGUCUAGAAGCCCAUUAGCAAGCUCAUGAUAGACUACUAUCACCCACCUGUGUGACAGGAAUGUAUAUUGGACUGUUGCACAACCUACCCAGACCUCUGCUAUUCCAAGGGAAACAGUGCACAAUGGGGAAGAAACAGUCUCAGCCUUACAUAUCAGAUUUUAUACUCCUAGAUAUUGCCAUUAAGCAAUGCAGCUUUUGAGUUACACUGAAUACUACCAAGAAUAAAACCAAUUCUCAACUAGUUUCUCAGUAACAGUCAAAAAUUAAUUUUAGUGUCAGAAAUUACCUAGAACAGAAGAGAGAGCAAAGCAGAGAACAACCUAUAUGACUGUAUAAAUCAAUGCUUCAUGCUUGAUUAGUAUGUGCUAUUUUUGUCCAUUCAUCCCAGAAAGGGUGUAGUUGAACUGCAGAAGGUUCAGGUUAGCGGAUACAUUACAAAGUACAAAAAAGCUUCUGUAUGUGAAAUGACUAAAGCAGGAUUAGUUUGAAAACAAGCUGACUCCAAAGAGGCAGAAGGUGCAGAGAUCUCCAGCACUGUCAGGGAUGCAGAGAGAAUAGAGAAGGAUCACUUUCUCCAUUGCUUCUGUGUGGGGGGAAUACAGAACCAAAUGGAACAAGUAAGAACUAGGUCCAGAACAAACAAAAUGAAAUGAGAAUAUUCUCCAUGCAAUGGGUAAUUGAACCAUGAAACUUCUUCCAAAAGAAUAUUGUAGAUGCUGACAAUUUGCAUUUUCAAGUGGAGAUCGGGAUAACUCUUAGAAGAAAAAUCCUUUGUUAAUUACUAAAUUUCAUUCUUACUAAUUUCAAAACCCUAUACAUCAGCCCUAAUGAUUGCUACAAUAUUGGAAACAUUUUGAAUUGAACAGGCAAGAAACUUUUUCCAAAUUCAAAGGAGAAACAAAAACAAAAGAAAAGAAAAAACAGAAAGGAAAAUUUUAAAAUGGUAGAAGAAAGAGUUUAAUUAUGAUUUCAUUUCUUAGUCUCUAUUCCAGCAGCAGCUAUCUCUGAGAAAUAACACAGUGUAUGUAUAAAGAAUGUAUGUCUAUAAUAUGCAGUACAUAGUUAAACAAAACCACCCAGUCUUGAAGUAAAAGAGCAAACACUUGAGGGAGAGAUGCAGACAUACAAUCACAUUAUAUCUCUCUUCACUUCUUCAACCUCAAAUACGCCCUCAUAGUUAGUACUAAUCAAGAAAGCAGGAUUCUCACUACAGUUCUCUUUCUUUCUCUCUUGAAUAUCCCUCAUUUAUUUUGAUGGCCUUAGAUAUGUUGCCUCACAGCCUCACACAAAUUGUCUCAUUUUACUUGUAGUAACAAAGAUAAUUUGGACUGGGUGGAAAUUGAAUCAAUUGGAUUACUAGGGCAGUUCUUGUUAACAUUCAUGUUUUCGGUUUCACCCCUCCUCUCUGGAGGGAAGAAUGCAACUGGCUAUUAUUCCAUUAGUGAUCUUUCCUAUGAAACUAAUAAGCUGACAUCAAACCAAAAAGGUACCAUUUUCUGUCUGCGUAGUCUGGCAACUUCCUCAGUGUUUUAGUGCAAAAAGUCAGGUGGUCUUCAUUUUAGAAUGUGGGAUGCCUUUCUGAUGUAAUGUUUGUCUUCACUUACAGCUGCCUUCCUUUUGCAGUUAUGACAGAUUAUAUUAAAUAUAAAGCAUUUUAACUGUUUUAUAACUAUGCUAUUGCUAUCAGUGAAAGACCAAAAUUACCAGCAAAUGUAAAUAUAUAAAUAUAUUUGUAUAAAAUAUAAACUUUCAGGCAGUCUAAAUAUUCUGAUUACAAGUGAAGGAUUCAUCAUUCACAUAUAGAGUUAACACUACGACAAAUUUAAUUGUUACCAUUUGUUAAGUUUUGAGUUAGAUUCCUCUCUAAACAUAGUAUUGUUAAACUACUUCUUUUUUUUUUUUUUUUUUUUUUUUGUCUUUUUUCUUCUGUUUGUCUGUCUCCCAAAUCCAUACCUUAUUCUAUUUCUUUCAAAAGAAUUAACUGCCACAAAAGCUCUUAGAUUUGUGAGUAAAACUUCCCAUACAGUUUAACAAACUACUUAUUACAAAUCUUCUUUAAGAAAAUCUUGUAUAAAAGUAUGUAGCUUGCAUCUGAAUUUGUAAUGCUGAAUUCACAUUGUUUCACAGGUUUAUAGGAAUAAUAAUAAAAAAAUAUCUGAACUAAGCUUUUCAAGGAACAUCCAUUCCAUUUUGUCUGAAGAUAAAGCUGCAGUUUAGAAAUCAUAUGUCUACAGAAACUUCUCUGAUCAAACAGCUGGAGUAUUCCGCAUCACAACAUCAUGCAGUGUACUGGGAGUUGAAGAGCAAAUGCUUUAGUUCCGGGUACGUGUCUGGAAGCGAAGAAGAACUACAUUCCCCAAGAGCCUUUUCGAGUACUGUUAUCAUUCCUGCUCAAGGGAACAGAUAUAAGGGCGCAGGUCAUCUGACUCACCCCUCUUCUCGUCUCACCGUGUUCCCUGUCGGAUUGGCUCACUACUGCUGCUCCCAACUGCACACAAGGCUUCAGUAUUAGCAUCGUUGCUGCUGUUUUUAUUUUGGGGUCCCCUAUUUCCCUUCCUGGAGGUGUGGAUUUUGCAAAAUCCCUCCGCCCCACUAGUCACAGAACCGGACCGGACAGCCCCUUAAACCAUUGACAAAUUAUAAUUUACGUCCAGGGACAUACAUUCUGGUCUUUGAAACAACAAUUUCAGAAAAAAACGAACACCAAAAACACAAGAAAUCCAACCAGGAAUAGAAAACAGGUAUUCAGAGCAAUUUCUUCAGUGACACAAUGCUUAACUGUUCCUGGGUUCAUGGAAGCCAUGCUGCUCAGGAGGUAUAGGAGGCCAGGCAAAGGUCUUAAUCUUUGCUUACAAGUGACUUCAUGUUCUCUCUUGCAUCAAGCCUACAUGAUAUGGGUUUUACAUCAGGUCUCCCAGAGCUUCAUGCAGCAUUGACUCCUCAUAACAGAAACCUCCUGUUCAUACUUCAGAUGAGACAGUGUUGUACAGAGCCAAGGCCAUUCACAGUGAAGGGCCCAAGAAGCUGGGAAGGAACAGAAUUAGGACAGCUGACUUAAACUGGACAAAGUGAUAUUCCAUGCCAUAUGACAUCAAGUGAAAGGAGUUUUGAAGGGGGUAAUGAAGUUGGGAAAGAUUAGCAACUGACUAGAAAAAUAUAACAUUUCCAAAAUCAAUACUCUUGUUGACAGCUGACAUGGGAUUCACCCUUAAUUCUGAAACAGUUUUACUCAUAGUUCUCAUCCUGAUGAGGAAUUACAACCAACAUGAUGUAUCAUGGAAAAACAACUUAAGGGGCUGCAAGCAAUCCAGGACACUCCUGCAUUCUGUUGAGUAUAACUUUCUGGUCCAAGUAUUGGACAAACCAACCAGAGGAGAUGCAUUACUGAACCUACUGCUAACCAAUGGCAAUCAGUUCAGUAAAGAGAUUGAGAUUGGAGGCAGUCUGGGCUGUAGUGACCAUGCCCUGGUUGAGUUUGUGAUCCCAAGGAAUGUGGGCCUGUCAAGGAGCAGAGUCAGGACUCUGAACUUCAGAAGAGCAAACUUCCAGCCAUUUAAGGAAUUACUGGUUAUGAAAACUGUCUUUAGGGACAAAGGAACAGAACAGAUCUGUCGGUUCUUCAAGAAUACCUUUCUAGGAGCACAAGAGCUCUCCAUCCUCCAGCAUAAGAAAUCUGGAAAGGGAGGCAGGAGACUGGCAUGGCUGAAAAAGUACAUCCAGGUCAAACUGAGGAAUAAAAAUGAAAUGUGCAGGCAGUGGAAGCAGGAAUGUGUGACCUGGGAAGAAUACAGGGAUGCCAUCCAGAUGUGCAGAGGUGGGAUCAGGAAAGCCAAGGCACAGAUGUAACUAGACUUGGGACAUCAAAAACAAUGAGGGAUUCUACAGGUAAAUUGGUCAGAAGAGAAAAGGCAAGGAGAGUGUCACUCCUCUGAUAAAUGAGAAGAGAGAAAUGGCAAAAACAGACAUGAGGAAAGCUGAGGCAUUGCCUCAGUUUACAAUGGCAUUCUGGCUUCUUGUGUCUCUCAAGUCCCUGAACAUCUAGGCAGGGGUAAGUGGAGCUAAAUCCCCCCCAUUGUGAGCAAUGAACAAGUUUGAUUCCACUUGAUGAUAACAUGUAUCCUAGGGUCCUGAAGGAUCUGGAAAAAAAGGUGACUAGAAAAAAGAGAAACAUUACUCACAUUUUUAAGAAAGGGAGAAAGGAAGAUCUGGAAAACUACAGAAUGGUGACCUUCACCUCUGUGUCUGAGAAGAUCAGGAAAUAGAUCUUUGUGGAAAACAUGUUAAGGCACAUAUGAGACGAGGAGGUGAUCCAAUACAUCCAGCAUAGCUUCAGCAAGAGCAGAUCAUUCCUGACCAAUUUGAUGGGCAACAGAUGUUGUCUACCUGGACUUCUGAAAGGCCUUUUACAUGGUCCCACACCACCACAUCCUUGUCUCUAAAUUGGAGAUAGACAGACUUGAAGGGUGGACUAUUCAGUGGAGAAAUAAUUGGUUUGAUGGUCCAAGUGGAGGCUCUUGAUGAGUGGUGUCCCACAGUGUUCUGUCUUGGGAUAGGUGCUUUCUGAACAUCUUCAUCAGUGACCUAGACUAUGGGGCCGAGUGCACCCUCAGCAAGUUAGCAGAUGACACCAAGCUGAGUGGUGCAGUUGAUACCAUAGAAGGAAAACAUGCCAUCCAGAGGAACUUGAACAGGUUUGAAAAGUGGUCUCAUGGGAACCUAAUGAGGUUUAACCAAGCCAAGUCCAAAGUGUUACAGUUGGGUCUGGUCAAUCUCAGAUAUGUUUACAGUCUGAGAGUAGAACUCAUUGAGACCAGCCUUGUGGAGAAGGGACUGGGGGUUCUGGAGGAUAAAAAGCUUGACAUGGUCCAGCAGUGUGCACUUGCAGCCUGAAAUUGUAUCCUGGGCUGAAUCAGCAGAGAAGUGGCCAGCAGAGUGAAGGGGGUGACUGUCUAUUUCUUCUCUGCUAUUAUGAG